AAUGGAGUCUCUGUGGGCCACAUUUGGCCCUCCGAAGCUCCUUUUGGGACUCGGGAGGCCUCUCCCGGCCUGUUACAGGCUGAAAUGGAGCCUCUGGAGGCCGGAUUCAGCUGUCCCCAUCCCAUUUCCCAUGGCUUUACUGUAUUUACUUUUCUAAGAGCUCCAGAAGAGGUUGACCCACAUGGCAGAGAAGCCAAAGUCUUAUUCAGAAGCCCAUGAAGCUGUAAGAAAGUGAGAUGUAAGGAAAACAGCUUGCCCCAUCUGAAUAAAAGACCGGCUUUUAUGCCAUGAGAGCCUGCAGGCUUAGUUUGGGCCCAGUCUGGCCGGUGACGAACAGCCUCCUGCUUGCUGCUGACUGGCUAGUUUGAAUGAGCAGCUUCAGGGAUUGGGCCGUGGCAGCCAAUCAACAAGAGGCUUGCAGUUCAGCCCGAUGAGACGAAACAACUUCAUUGAUUGGCUGCUGCUGCCGCCUCAAUUCCUGAAGCAGGAGGCCGCUGUGGCCCAGUCCAGGCCUAGGCUGAAAUCUUUUACUCAGAAAUCUUUUACUCAGAAGCUGGUGAAAAUGUUUUCCUUAGAUUUCACGUUCUUACAGCUUUGCCAUCAUCUGAAUAAAAUACUUUGGCUUCUCUGCCAGUGGGUCAGCCUCUUCUGGAGCUCUUCAAAAAGACAAAUUUCAACGCUUUGCCUGGAGACACCUACGUAUGGGAAUUCAUCAUAACAACUCUUUGAGGAUACUACCUCAGUUAAUUUUAUUUAUUGUUCAAACAUAGUAUGAAGAAGUGUGUUUUGACACAGUCAUCAGUCUCUACGUUGGCUAGUUGAACUCAGAUUCUUCAGGUAUCCAUGCAUCAGCAAUCAGCCAAACUGCAAUUAAUUGACCCUUUUAAUGAUUUUUGGGAGCAUUCUACUCCCAUAAGGCGAAGAAACUAGAGUUGACAACUAUAUUUAUGUGAUCUAUGUAUAUGUGAUUGUUAUUGUGCUCCAAAGUUUUCCAAUGGUUACAACAGAGUAUAAAGCUAAAAUUAAUAUCGCAAUAAAUGAUUAAAUUAAUACA